UACGUAGGGUGCAAGCGUUGUCCGGAAUUAUUGGGCGUAAAGAGCUCGUAGGCGGUUUGUCACGUCGGAAUGUGAAACCCUGAGGCUCAACCUCAGGCCUGCAUUCGAUACGGGCAGACUAGAAUUCGGCAGGGGAGACUGGAAUUCCUGGUGUAGCGGUGAAAUGCGCAGAUAUCAGGAGGAACACCGGUGGCGAAGGCGGGCUCUGGGCCGAUAUUGACGCUGAGGAGCGAAAGCGUGGGGAGCAAACAGG
rnacentral:rRNA from 1 species